rnacentral:rRNA from 1 species
UAAACCAAGGUAAUUAAAUAACAAAAUUACUCGCCAGAGAACUACUAGCCACUGCUUAAAACUCAAAGGACUUGGCGGUGCCCUAGACCCUCCUAGAGGAGCCUGUUCUAUAAUCGAUAAACCCCGAUACACCUCACCCCUUCUAGCCUAUCAGUCUAUAUACCGCCAUCGUCAGCUCACCCCAAUAGGGCCAAAAAGUGAGCAAAAUCAUCUAAACCAUAAAAACGUUAGGUCAAGGUGUAGCAUAUGAAGGGGGAAGCAAUGGGCUACAUUUUCUAUACUAGAACACAACGGAUUGUCUAUUGAAAUAAAGACAUGAAGGAGGAUUUAGUAGUAAAUUAAGAAUAGAGAGCUUAGUUGAAAUAGGCAAUAGGGUGCGUACACACCGCCCGUCACCCUCCUCAAUAAAGUAACCUUCAAUACCUAAUAAGAAUACGCCAAAAAGAGGAGAAAAGUCGUAACAUGGUAAGUGUACUGGAAAGUGCACUUGGACAAUC